AUGCCAGAGCCACCAAACCUUGUUUGCUCACUCUUUCCUCCUUACCCACCCAAGUACGCAUCCCGGCUCGGCACGAUUCCCCACACUCACUCUUCCUGUGCUCAGGAGCCCAGUCCAUGUCCCCUUUUCGGAAAGACUUUCCCCGGUUGCCCUCACUUUCCCACACAGAGGCAAACAAAGACUCACGAGCCCAGAAAUAGCCUCCCUCCGAGCUGGAAGGCACAGGCCGUGUCCUGCCCCGCGCGCACGCACGCUCGCACGCUCGCACGCGCAGGCACGGCGGCUCCCGUGGAGGGAGCACACCGGUGCCCGCACAUAAACAUCCACACCCUCGGCCGCUGCGCCGAGCCACAAAAGGGUGCAGACACGCGGAGCGCGAGGCACGGGCACACCCACGGCGGCCGGCCCUGGACGGCUGCAAGGCCCGCUCCCGGCUCGCCCGCCCCCCCGCCCCCGGAUUCCUUCCAGCAAAUGUUUCCCUACUUGGCCUGCCCGGUCCCUGGGGAAAGGGCCUCAGAAAUGCUGCAGGAGCCACUUGGGGGAAGAAAGUUGGAACUGCCCGUUCUCUGCCUGGCCCUGCCGGCGAAUUCCCCAACCGAGAAACUGUUUGUGGAGAAAGAAGGCAGGGUGGCGGGCAAGCCCCCCCCCGUCCCCUCCCUAGACUGUCCCUCCCCGUGCCGCCACCGGCGAGCCUCCGGCGGCCUGGGCGCUCGCUGCCCGCCUCGCAGCCGCUGGGCGGACCGGCCUGGCUCGCCGCGUCUCUGCGCCGUUUGGACCACGCGGGUGCACGGGAGGGCUGCUGUGUCCCCGCGCGUCGCAGGCAGACCCCGGGCCGCCGGACUAUUUCUGUCUUAUCAGUGCAGGAAUGCGGCAGCCGCGGCGGCGGCGGCGGGCGGCGGCGGCGGGCGGGCGGCGGCGGCUUGGGCCGUGGGCCGUCAGGGCAGCCCUGAAGGGGCCCCCUCCCCACUCCGCUCGAGUAGAAGUGUGAGAGAGCCCAGCAGGACUCAGAGGGGAGAGUUGGAGGAAAAAAAGGCAGAAAAGGGAAAGAAAGAGGAAGAGAGAGAGAGUGAGAGGAGCCGCUGA
rnacentral:lncRNA from 1 species